AACGAACGCUGGCGGCAGGCCUAACACAUGCAAGUCGAGCGCUCUCUUCGGAGGGAGCGGCGGACGGGUUAGUAACGCGUGGGAAUGUACCCUUCUCUAAGGAAUAGCCAUUGGAAACGAUGAGUAAUACCUUAUACGCCCCCCGGGUCAAACUGGGGGGAAAGAUUUAUCGGAGAGGGAUCAGCCCGCGUAAGAUUAGAUAGUUGGUGGGGUAAUGGCCUACUAAGUCUACGAUCUUUAGCUGGUUUUAGAGGAUGAUCAGCAACACUGGGACUGAGACACGGCCCAGACUCCUACGGGAGGCAGCAGUGGGGAAUCUUGGACAAUGGGCGCAAGCCUGAUCCAGCCAUGCCGCGUGAGUGAUGAAGGCCUUAGGGUCGUAAAGCUCUUUCGCCAGAGAUGAUAAUGACAGUAUCUGGUAAAGAAGUCCCGGCUAACUCCGUG
rnacentral:rRNA from 1 species